rnacentral:misc_RNA from 1 species
UUAAGUUCAGCGGGUAGUCCUACCUGAUUUGAGGUCAGAGCAAAAAAUGUCAGAAGACGGGUUAUGAGCGGUCCUCUCAGUCUUGGCCAGCGAAACUUAUUACGCCAGAUUCGACCUCGGAAUCACUAAGGCUUUUGAGGCGAGCCGGACGGCAACACCCAAAUCCAUCGUCAUCGGAAACCCGAUGGGAUGAUGUUUUC